UUCCAACCACACAUUAGCAUA
rnacentral:piRNA from 1 species